GGCACGUUAGCUCAGUUGGUUAGAGCGUCGUGCUAAUAACGCGAAGGUCGUGGGUUCGAUCCCCCCACGGGCCA
rnacentral:tRNA from 1 species